rnacentral:rRNA from 1 species
GACGGGUGAGUAACGCGUGGGUAACCUGCCCAUAAGUGGGGAAUAACAGUUGGAAACGACUGCUAAUACCGCAUAAGCUGAGCAAUCAGUAAAGGAGGCUUUUGCUUCCGCUUAUGGAUGGGCCCGCGUCUGAUUAGCUGGUUGGUGGGGUAAUGGCCUACCAAGGCAACGAUCAGUAGCCGGCCUGAGAGGGUGGACGGCCACACUGGGACUGAGACACGGCCCAGACUCCUACGGGAGGCAGCAGUGGGGAAUAUUGCGCAAUGGGGGAAACCCUGACGCAGCGACGCCGCGUGAGCGAAGAAGGCCUUAGGGUCGUAAAGCUCUGUUUUAAGGGACGAAUAUCCUUAGUAGUAACUGACUAAGGAAUGACGGUACCUUAAGAAAAAGCCCCGGGCUAACUACGUGCCAGCAGCCGCGGUAAGACGUAGGGGGCGAGCGUGUCCCGGAAUUACUGGGCGUAAAGAGCACGUAGGCGGGAUUUUAAGUCAGGUGUUGAAAGACCGUGGCUCAACCACGGGGUUGCACAUGAAACUGGAAUUCUUGAGGGCAGGAGAGGAAAGUGGAUUCCUGGUGUAGCGGUGAAAUGCGUAGAAAUCAGGAGGAACACCGGUGGCGAAGGCGACUUUCUGGACUGACCCUGACGCUGAGGUGCGAAAGCGUGGGUAGCAAACAGGAUUAGAUACCCUGGUAGUCCACGCUGUUACGAUGGAUACUAGGUGUGGGAGGUAUCGACCCCUUCCGUGCCGCAGCAUACGCUAUAAGUAUCCCGCCUGGUGUUAAGUUCGCAAGGCUGAACUCAAGAAUGACGGGACCUAACA